GUAGGAGCAGCUUGCUGCUUUGAGACCGGCGCACGGGUGCGUAACGCGUAUGCAAUCUACCUUGUACAGGGGGAUAGCCCAGAGAAAUUUGGAUUAAUACCCCAUGGUGUUUAAGAGUGGCAUCACUUUUUUACUAAAGUUCCAACGGUACAAGAUGAGCAUGCGUCCCAUUAGCUAGUUGGUAUGGUAACGGCAUACCAAGGCUAUGAUGGGUAGGGGUCCUGAGAGGGAGAUCCCCCACACUGGUACUGAGACACGGACCAGACUCCUACGGGAGGCAGCAGUGAGGAAUAUUGGUCAAUGGUCGCAAGACUGAACCAGCCAUGCCGCGUGCAGGAAGACGGUCCUAUGGAUUGUAAACUGCUUUUAUACAGGAAGAAACCCUCUCACGUGUGGGAGCUUGACGGUACUGUAUGAAUAAGCAUCGGCUAACUCCGUGCCAGCAGCCGCGGUAAUACGGAGGAUGCGAGCGUUAUCCGGAAUCAUUGGGUUUAAAGGGUCCGUAGGCGGUUUAAUAAGUCAGUGGUGAAAUCUGGUCGCUCAACGAUCAAACUGCCAUUGAUACUGUUAGACUUGAAUAAUUGUGAAGUAACUAGAAUAUGUAGUGUAGCGGUGAAAUGCUUAGAUAUUACAUGGAAUACCAAUUGCGAAGGCAGGUUACUAACAAUUUAUUGACGCUGAUGGACGAAAGCGUGGGGAGCGAACAGGAUUAGAUACCCUGGUAGUCCACGCCGUAAACGAUGGAUACUAGCUGUUCGGCGCAAGUUGAGUGGCUAAGCGAAAGUGAUAAGUAUCCCACUGGGAGUACGCACG
rnacentral:rRNA from 1 species